AUCUUGCAUCCUACCACAAUUAGUCAGUUCUUCAUUCAGUAAGGACUCAUAGCCAGAUAUGGAACUAUGCACAAAAGGAUAAAAAUAAAAUACUAAAACGGAAGAAAAUUAUGAAGAAGGAAGAGAGGGAGGUAGAGGAAGAAAAGAACAGGAUUGUAGGUGAUCAUCUCCCAUGCUCGGAUGCUCGGUCUCAGGCUGUGGUGUUUGGCAGAAAUCAGUGAUUUUUCAGAACGUUGGAAGGUGCCCACAACUGGCACUAGUGUAUUUUUUGUCCCUCUAAAGCACCUAUGGACAGUCCUAUGCUUUUCCAGACCAGAGGAAGCUUAGGAAGGCUUUGCUUCAUUCUAGGUCAGCCUGCCUGCAGAUAUAGUCCCUUUCCUCUGCUGCCUUAUUGUCAGUUACAUUAAAUACAGUCUAUGACAAGA